AUACAAUGGAAGAUGAUUGUCUACAAAUAUGUUUUGAUUUUAUUAGAUGCUAACCAUAGCAGAAUCAGUUUCAACUGGAGAAGAAAUUUGCCUAAAAUUCUGCUCCAUUUAUUUUCGACUGUUUUGGGAGCUGACCUGGCCAAAAUUAGUUAUCUUGUCAUGAUUUAUCACUCUAAUUUAGAUGAAGUCGGAUACGGUGGACAUUAUAUGAUAUCAUGUGCUAACCUAUGUUUUGGUCUUAGUCAUCUUUUAGAAGGUUAAUUAGCAAUGCUGUUCUAGUAAACUUGUGAAUUAAUCAUCACACUUGUACCAAAUAAUAGCCAGUCUUACUCAUUAUGCCUUGAUCUGCAACUGAAUAGCAAUUGAUCCGUGUGAUGUGCACACUAGUUAGAAAAACUUUUAUUUUGUUGUAAUCUUAUUGAAAUUUGAAAAAUAACCUCAUCUAACUAGAAAUAACCCUUAGGAUACCCAGAAUAUUAUUGAAAAUUCAGCUAUUCUGCAGGUACCCGGUGUCCCUCUCAUA
rnacentral:misc_RNA from 1 species